CCCAUUCUCCUGCCCUCUCCAUAUAACCACUGACACCUGUACUAAUCAAGAAUCUAUCUAUCUCUGCCUUUAAAAUAUCCAUUGACGUCCUCUACAGCCUUUUGUGGCAAACGAGCUCACAGA